rnacentral:lncRNA from 1 species
CACUUUUAGCAAAAGGGCGCUCGCCCCGGGUGGCAGGGUUUCGGGAUCACGAGCAAGUUCUAGUAUAUGUAGAUUAUGGUAUACAUAGCAUAAUCAUCAAGGGAUAUAAUGCAGCAUGGGAUUUUUUGGAUUCUUUGGCAAGUUAAGGUAUCUAGUCGAGAGUGUUACAAAGGCCAGAAUGGAUAACAUUGACAAUCGUCAUAACUAGACCAUCUCACAAGCAAAAGCUCAGUUCCAGAUCAAAGUAACAAUUCACUGCUCAAGGUUGAUCACAAAGAAGGCAUUUGAUGCAAAAACAAGCUGAAGCAGUAAAUUAGCUCCCAGCUUUCAAACAACGGUUUGCUUAGAAGAAGAUAAUUGAAACACCCAUUGUCAAGCAGCCCACAGCCACCCAAGGACUCAACCGCUCACCUGCCAUAAAGCACACUACAUUAGUAACAUCUUGUCAAAUCAAAGCAUUCUGGCCAUAUGAAAGCACAAAAGAUUUACUUGCUAUGCUACAAUGAAAAAAUGGUUUCCCUGUUUUCUGUUGUUUGCUAUAUACACAAAGAACCCUUCUUUUUCCUCGGAUAGAUAGCAAGGUAUUUGCAAUAUCGUAUACUCUUUAAUUUCAAAAAAAUCCUUUUCCUCUGUCAAAGUUUAGAUAAGGGGUAGAAGUUCAAGAUAACUUCUAUUUUAUUGAAAAUGUAAUGAACAUUUUAUAAGAGAAAGUUAUCCAGAGAAUGCAAUGGAUGAGUAGCACAACAAUCUGCAAUAUGCAUCUCAGCACACUAGUCAAAUGUGAAAAGCACGGAGGAUAUUAAUCAUCCUAUCUAGUUUAUUUACAUUCUUGUCGGUUAUUGACACCCUUGAUUACUACAUGUUUUCUUAUUAUAUUGUUGUUGAUAAUGUAGGAGGGCCUCCUCCCCACCAUUCUGGCCUAUUAUUGAUAGGGAUUCUCUUAUUAUCCGGGUUAUGGUUACUACUUGGUUCUUACUAUUAUUUUGGUGUUGGUAUU